rnacentral:rRNA from 1 species
UACAGAGGUGGCAAGCGUUGUUCGGAAUUACUGGGCGUAAAGGGCGCGUAGGCGGCCUUCUAAGUCAGACGUGAAAUCCCCAGGCUUAACUUGGGAACUGCGUCUGAUACUGGGAGGCUUGAGUGCGGGAGAGGGAUGUGGAAUUCCAGGUGUAGCGGUGAAAUGCGUAGAUAUGCGGAGGAACACCGAUGGCGAAGGCAAUCCCCUGGGCCUGCACUGACGCUCAUGCACGAAAGCGUGGGGAGCAAACAGG